rnacentral:tRNA from 1 species
GGUCCAUUUGUGUAGCGGUUAACAUGCCUGCCUGUCACGCAGGAGAUCGCGGGUUCGAUUCCCGUCUGGACCGCCA